AACCGUGAUUCCCCUAGUAACGGCGAGUGAAGAGGGAAAAGCUCAAAGUUGGAACCUGGCUGCCCUAGGCAGUCCGGAUUGUAAACUAAAGAGCGUGAUUCCAGGCAAGCCGGUUGACCAAGUCCUUUGGAAUGAGGCGCCACUGAGGGUGAGAGCCCCGUAAGUCGACUGAGCAUUUGUCUUUUGUGCUUCGCGUUCAAAGAGUCAGGUUGUUUGGGAAUGCAGCCUAAAGCUGGUGGUAAAUCCCACCUAAAGCUAAAUACAGGCGAGAGACCGAUAGCGAACAAGUACCGUGAGGGAAAGAUGAAAAGAACUUUGAAAAGAGAGUUAAACAGUAUGUGAAAUUGCCAAGAGGGAAGCAUUUGGAGUUAGAUUGACUAGGAGUUAAUCAGCUUGGUCUUUGGACUGGGUGUACUUGACUUCUUACAGUCUGCCAAUAGCAGUUAGUCCUAGUGGAAAAAACCAGAGGGAAGGUAGUCCUUCGGGAUGUUUAUAGACCUUUGGAAAAUACACUGGGAUUGACUGAGGAAUGCAGUAGAUGCCACUAAGGCUUCGUCUAGUGGGUGCUAGGCAAAGGUACUUGGUAUUUUCAGCUUGCUGAUGUGCUAGGUUACUCGAGUCUAGUCGCCUACUAGAAC
rnacentral:rRNA from 1 species